UACGUAGGGUGCAGGCGUUAAUCGGAAUUACUGGGCGUAAAGCGUGCGCAGGCGGCUCCUUAAGUCAGAUGUGAAAUCCCCGGGCUUAACCUGGGAACUGCGUUUGAAACUGGAAGGCUUGAGUGUGGCAGAGGGGGGUGGAAUUCCACGUGUAGCAGUGAAAUGCGUAGAGAUGUGGAGGAACACCGAUGGCGAAGGCAGCCCCCUGGGCUAACACUGACGCUCAUGCACGAAAGCGUGGGGAGCAAACAGG
rnacentral:rRNA from 1 species